CACGUAGGCACCAAGCGUUGUCCGGAUUUAUUGGGCGUAAAGAGCUCGUAGGCGGCUCGUUGCGUCGGCUGUGAAAACCCGCAGCUCAACUGUGGGCUUGCAGCUGAUACGGGCGGGCUGGAGUUCGGUAGGGGAGACUGGAAUUCCUGGUGUAGCGGUGAAAUGCGCAGAUAUCAGGAGGAACACCGGUGGCGAAGGCGGGUCUCUGGGCCGAUACUGACGCUGAGGAGCGAAAGCGUGGGGAGCGAACAGG
rnacentral:rRNA from 1 species